rnacentral:rRNA from 1 species
UACAGAGGUCCCAAGCGUUGUUCGGAUUCACUGGGCGUAAAGGGUGCGUAGGCGGCACGGCAAGUUUGGUGUGAAAGCUCCGGGCUCAACCCGGAAAUUGCACUGGAUACUGCCGAGCUCGAGGAUUGGAGGGGAGACUGGAAUUCUUGGUGUAGCAGUGAAAUGCGUAGAUAUCAAGAGGAACACCGGUGGCGAAGGCGAGUCUCUGGACAAAUCCUGACGCUGAGGCACGAAGGCUAGGGUAGCAAACAGG